GACGAACGCUGGCGGCGUGCUUAACACAUGCAAGUCGAACGAUGAACCCGGAGCUUGCUCCGGCGGAUUAGUGGCGAACGGGUGAGUAACACGUGAGUAACCUGCCCUUGACUCUGGGAUAACUGCGGGAAACUGUAGCUAAUACCGGAUACGACCCUCGGCGGCAUCGCGAGGGGGUGGGAAGAAUUUCGGUCAAGGAUGGACUCGCGGCCUAUCAGCUAUUUGGUGAGGUAACGGCCCACCAAGGCGACGACGGGUAGCCGGCCUGAGAGGGUGACCGGCCACACUGGGACUGAGACACGGCCCAGACUCCUACGGGAGGCAGCAGUGGGGAAUAUUGCACAAUGGGCGCAAGCCUGAUGCAGCAACGCCGCGUGAGGGAUGACGGCCUUCGGGUUGUAAACCUCUUUUAGCAGGGAAGAAGCGAAAGUGACGGUACCUGCAGAAAAAGCACCGGCUAACUACGUGCCAGCCGCCGCCGUAA
rnacentral:rRNA from 1 species